rnacentral:lncRNA from 1 species
CUCAAUCAUCAAAUUAAAUCUUAUUGCAGCGGAAAUUAUUUAAACGUUUAAAACAACUUUGGCACAAAGGCCUCAAUGUAAAAUCUCAUAAAAUUAUUCCAACAACAUGUUCAUAAAACUUCAUAAAAUAAUACGUAAGGAACAUAAAACAACAACAAAAUUCUCAUCCCGUUACGUAUCAGAGCGACCCUAAGACGACGACACGUGAGAGAGUCGACUCACUUCACAACUAAUCUUGAUUACCUGCAAGUUACCCAAUUGUGAGGGCAACAUUUCCAAGCAGAAGGGGUGAGAUUUCACAUUCAAUAAUAAUAAGCAUAUAAUUCAUCAAAAGCAUUUAACAACUUAUACUUCAUCAAUUAAUAACAUUACUCUUCUUAUAAAACUUCAUUAAUAACUCAAUCAACUUCUAAUCAUCAUUAACUUCAUAUUCAUUACAUUAUACCCAACGUCAUACAACAACAUAAACAUCACAUCAUAACAUCAUUUUAUAACAUCAUAUACUUCACAUCAUAAACAUCAUCAUAUAACAACAUAAUCACAACAUAAACAACAUCAUAAACAACAUAACAACAUCAUAAGCACUUCAUUAACGACACAUGGGUAAAUAACAACUUAACAACAACGACACGACUUCAACUCGACAAUGCAACUUAGACAUCUUACACAUCUUGAACCGUCUAGACAAAAUGCAACCACGACCUCUUAAUCAUGCAUGUGGUACCAACCAGGGCAUCAAGCCCCCAACGUAUUGAGCGUAAAUAGGCUCACAUGGCAUCAAACCCUCAACUUACCGGGCAUCAAGCCCUCAACAUAAUAUGUAUAAAUAUACAUUACAAGGCAUCAAGCCCUAAACUUAAAUGAGUAUGCAUGGACUCAAAAUCUUACAACUUAAAAAACUUAAACAACUCAUAUGACUCCAAUAAUUUGGAUCAACAUCUUACAACUUAAACAACUUAGACCAACAUUAACAUCCUAAUCACGACAACAAGACAACACCAUUAAAUAAUAUGCAGCAAGUCAACAUCAACAAUAAUAAUCUCAUGUAACCAUUACAACUUCAUAUCAACAUCUUUCACAAUAUAUAAAUCUUUCAUAUUAUUAACAACAUCAAAUCAUAUUCAUCAACAUAUACAUUCAUAUAAUAUUUCAUCAAUCAUGAACAACAUCAUAUAACAUCAUAUUCAUCAACAUAUACAUUCAUAUAAUAAUUCAUCAACCACGAACAACAUCAUAUAACAUCAUAUUCAUCAACAUAUACAUUCAUAUAGAUAUUAAAUCACCCAACAAGGAUAUUCACAUCAAACCAAAUUAGAUCUAUCACCACAUAGGUUAAAUACUCUUAAACCCCUUAAUUAGAUCCAUCAUAUUCAUAUAUUUUUAAAAAUCAACUUGUGUACCCGUGCAUUGUACGUUUUUUUACUGAUGCAUUGUACAAGUGUCUUUUUCUUUUCUGGAAUACAUUGUACGAGUUUUUACAUAAAUUAAAUUAAAUAUGAGUAUCUAAAACCUCUAAAAGAAAAAAAAUCAAUAUUUUUUUUACAAAUUAAAAGAAGAGGGUAUUGAUGCUUGUUGGUUUCUUUUUAUUUAGCUCGUUUUUGCUGAAUUUUUGGUUAGGGAGAAAGAAAAGGAGUGAUAAGUCUUAUAAUAAAUGUUUCAUUUUUAUUUACUAAUCCACCGUAAUUAAAAUAUUUAACCUUCUCCCAAAACACACUUACGAUUUAGAUACAUAAGUCAGCCUAUGUACAUGUGCAUUGUACGAGAUUUUACACUAAUUAAAUUAAAUAUAAAUAUAAAAGAAUACAUUGUACAAUUCUUUACGUUAAUUAAAUUAAGGGAUAUGAUCAAAUGACACCAUGUUGUCAAAUUAAAUUGAUACAUAAUCAUAAUCAUUAAUUAAACUUUAAUCUGAUGUCUCUCAUCAAUUCGUUAAAUGCUCACAUGCUUGAUCAAAUGAUCUAAAUUUUAAUUUUAGAAUCAAUUUAUUCUUUUUUUUAUUUAUUAAUUAUUUACCAUUUGAUUUCUCCCAGCAAUUUUUGGUAAAUAAUUAAUAAAAAAAGAAAGAAUAAAUUGUUUCUAAAAUUAAAAUGUAGAUAAUUUGAUCAAACAUGUGAGCAUUUAAUGAAUUGAUGAGAGACGUGAGAUUAAAGUUGGAUUAAUGGUUAUGGUUUGGUGUCAAAUUUAAUUUGACACCAUGGUGUCAUUUGAUUCUAUCCCUUAAAUUAAAUAUAAAUAUAAAAACUCUUAAAGAAUCCACAAGUCCUAGUUCAACUGAGGAAAUGCCGAAAUUGUUAAGCCGAAUACCAUGACCGGGGUUCGAAUCCCAGUACCUCCACUUAUGUGUGUGAGUUUAUAAUAUGGCUUUGUCAUUUCGUCUAUCUACAAAAAAAAAAAAAAAUCUUAAAAGAAAACAUAUAAAAAUAAUUUUUUAUUCUUACAAAUCAAUACGUAAAAGCAUAGUUUUGAAAACCGGACCGGACCGGACGGUUUGAACCGGUCCGACCGUGAACUGGCGUGGUGACCGGUUCGAGUUGAUAAACGGAUCGGUCAUGCAAUCAAACCGGCCUGAACCAGUGAGACUCGGCCAAACUCGGGGAAAAUCGAUGAACCGGCGGGUUUGACAAACCGGACCGGUUCUAUGCGAAGCAGAAAUUAAAUCAUAUUAAUUUUCCAAAAAAUGGCAGCGCAGGGUGUUGAAUCCGCGUCUCUUAGAUUGCAAUGCAAUCCCUUUACCCACUGCACUGUGUAGAUCUUUUAUUUUUAUCUUGCUUCUUAUCAAUUAUAUAUAAUAACUGAACUGUUUUUUUUAAAGGGAACCAAACACUCUUUUUUAUUUUAAGGAACCAAACACACUCUUAUCAUUUAAAUAUUAUUGUUCGACAUCUCAAAUAUUUUAAUAAACAUUUUUUUUACAAUAUUUUUUUUGAAAGAUUUUUUUUAUUUUACUAUAUUUAUUUGAAUAUGAAUUACUCUCUUCGUCCAUAUAUUUAAACACUCAUUUGAUUUUAUUUUUGUUCUUAAAUGUAAACCUUUUUUAAAUUACAACACUCAUUAAUUAUUUUAGUUUCUAAAGUGACCGAGUCACCGAUUCAAUUCGAGUUAAUCCGGUUAAAUAACUAUAUAAAUUUAAUCUAAGGACCGAGUUAUCUAACCGAGUCAUCCGAGUGAUUCUGAUUCAGUCAUGCGGUUCCACUAAUGACUCAGUGGUUCGACCAUUGAUCCAGUACCCCGCUGAGUCGAUGAUCGAGCCGAGUUUUAGAACUAUGUGUAAAAGAGAGUAAUUAUGCUAAUUUUGUUUCUAUAUUUAUUUAGCUCCACUUUGUUGAAUUUUUGGAGAGAGAGAGAGAGAGAGAGAGAGAGAGAGUGGUCUUACACACAAGAAAAGAAGACCAAGGUUGAGGAUGAGCUUUUGGUACU